rnacentral:rRNA from 1 species
GACGAACGCUGGCGGCGUGCCUAAUACAUGCAAGUAGAACGCUGAAGGAGGAGCUUGCUUCUCUGGAUGAGUUGCGAACGGGUGAGUAACGCGUAGGUAACCUGCCUGGUAGCGGGGGAUAACUAUUGGAAACGAUAGCUAAUACCGCAUAAGAGUAGAUGUUGCAUGACAUUUGCUUAAAAGGUGCAAUUGCAUCACUACCAGAUGGACCUGCGUUGUAUUAGCUAGUUGGUGGGGUACCGGCUCACCAAGGCGACGAUACAUAGCCGACCUGAGAGGGUGAACGACCACACUGGGACUGGGACACGGCCCAGACUCCUACGGGAGGCAGCAGUAGGGAAUCUUCGGCAAUGGACGGAAGUCUGACCGAGCAACGCCGCGUGAGUGAAGAAGGUUUUCGGAUCGUAAAGCUCUGUUGUAAGAGAAGAACGAGUGUGAGAGUGGAAAGUUCACACUGUGACGGUAUCUUACCAGAAAGGGACGGCUAACUACGUG